GCACAUUGCAGAAAAACAAGUUAGGCAUGAGGAAAUAUUGAUGCAAGAAUGCUAAAAAUGCAAGAAAUUCAAGAAGCGAAGAAUCUAUUCAAGAUUAGGAGUUCGUUUCCUUAAAUAUUAUGAUUUGUUAUUUCUUAUUUCUUAGUAAUUUAAUUCUUGUUUUAGUAGGAUUAUAUUUGCAGUUCUAGUCAAACUAUGAUUGUUAGUUGGUAUCCCAUUCUUACUAGAAUUCUUUUUUCAAUUUUAGUUAGGAUAGGUUUNNNNNNNNNNNNNNNNNNNNNNNNNNNNNNNNNNNNNNNNNNNNNNNNNNNNCAAUUUUAGUUAGGAUAGGUUUUCUUAGCCUUAUUCUUAUUCUAGUUUAAUUAGGAUUAGUUUUCCUUAACCUUACCAAUUUUACUCAUUGUAAGGCUUAUUUAAAGGGCUUAAUAUGCUGAAAAUAAACAUUAGUGAUUAGUUUUUCUAAGCUUUUGCUUCAAAAACGUGAUUUACUUUUUAUUUCAUUGUUCUUCCUUUAUUCAACACUUCUUGCAAUCUUGCGGGAUUGGGGAACGUGUGGGUGAGGUUUAUUUCCAUCUUAUAUUCUUCUAACUUGAGCUUGAAGAACGCUUUUGCUAGUUUUGUGAAAAACUUCUGCGGGGUGCUUGUAUUUUUCUCUCUUCUUUGUACUUAAGAUCAUUGAGGAACGUGUGGGCGAGGCUUUUUUCUAUCUUACAUUCAUCUAACGUGAGUUUGAAUAACACUUCCGUUAAUUUUGUGAAAAACUUUAGCAGGGUGCUUUUGUUUUUCUCUUCUUUGUACUUGAGAGGUGCAAAACCUAGAAAGUACGUCAAAUAUAUACACAUUUUGUGAGAUUUUGAUGUAUAUCCUACACCUAGCAUGUUUUAGAAUAGCAACCACAAGACAAUAGCCAAAUAAACAGCAAUACGUUCAGAAUCCCUCCAUCUUCUUGUUGAGACAUUAAUCGGGCAGAUAAGUUUUGGAAAGUAAGACAGCAAGAAAUCUGAAUAUUCGGUCAUUAAAUCUUGACUAAAGCCUCUAGAAUUGCCAAUAAAUAUCUCAUUCCCUUUUAGUCUUUUCGUAAUGUUAUUUUCGUUGAAGCCAAUCAAUCUUCAAGUUUGAGAAGGAAUGAAAUAAAGAGACUCUCAAAUGAUAUUUGAGUAAUCCGUUUUCUUUUACUUUUUUUUGGAUAACCUACUCCCCUAGGCAAGUGGUGCACAGUUCGAAACUCGGUGGAUAAUGGAGUCACCCCUCUACCCUUCUCCACUUUAAUACAGCUUUAUUUGUAAAAUAUUGGCCUGUAAUAAAUUUAAAUGGGGAACAUGAUCAGAAGGGAUUCAUAUAGCCGACCCCGAGUUAUUAGGGACUAAGUCGUCGGUGUUGUUGUCUAACAACAUGGUUAGAACAUACGACCUGCCCUGACCACACAUCACAUGUUUGAGUGAACCCUUCCCCUUAUUUUUUCAUCCUCUUCUAUUUCCCACUUUUCUCUUACUCUCAACUCAUCUCAGCCUGCUCAUGCUCUUAUUUAUUGAGCCCCAAAAACCAUACGGUCCAGGGCCAAUUUUUUGCCCACAACAUCCUCUCCUUUAGAACAAGAACACAUCAAGUUAGUUGAAAAGCCCGAAGCUAACUGCACUAAGUAGACCUUAACAACAGAGGUCUCUUCAACUGAGGAAUUUCUGUUAGUUCCAACAUAGGUUACCAACUAAUUUCAUGCAAUCACAAAAUUUUCUUACUGACCCCCAAAGUUUUCCUGCAAAAUAAUUUCAUAAAACUUCACAUGACUUGUUAAAAGAGAUAAUUUCAUAAAUUUAUGCACUAAUUAUCUCAUCAGAUAAGGCCCUUGAACGUCAGGCCAUCAAUCAUUAUAAGUAAAAUCCAUUAAUAUAUCUUGUAACUCACAACAAAUCACCUAAUUUCUUUGUAGAUUGAACAACCAAUGGCUGAGAAAUUUCUCUUAACAGAAAAUGCAUGUUUGAAAAGUUCAAUAAGUGGUACAAAUACUUGAAAUCGGAAUAUAAUGAGACAAAAUCCACAUCCCAUAAGACAAAAGCACAUUUAGAUAAGAAAGUUAUACGAGGCAACAACAACAACCACCCAGUAUAGUCCCACAAAGUGGGGUCUGGGAGGGUAAUAUGUAGACGGGCCUUACCCCUACCCGAAAGGGCAGAGAGGCCGUUUCCAAUCGACCCUCGGCUCAGUGAAGGAAAAACAACAACAAAAACAAAAACAAAAACAAAAG
rnacentral:lncRNA from 1 species